UUGAAUUUUAACUGAAGAGUUUGGUUGUAGCUGGCCCAUUCAUUUGGGCAUGUGCACACCUUCCUCUUUCAUCCCACACACACCUGUGAACCUGUGAGACAGAGAUGGGGAAUUUACUUGCUGCUUUUUGGAAUACAAAGGCAAUAGGUUAUUGGACCCCCCCUCUGUCUACUCAAUUAAUAUAAACUCAAUUUAUUUUAAAACGAAUGUAAUGGAUGUAACACAUCUCAUAC
rnacentral:misc_RNA from 1 species